AAGUCCCGUAACGAGCGCAACCCCUGCUUUCAGUUGCUACCGGGUCAUGCCGAGCACUCUGAAGGGACUGCCCAGGAUAACGGGGAGGAAGGUGGGGAUGACGUCAAGUCAGCAUGGCCUUUAUGCCUGGGGCCACACACGUGCUACAAUGGCCGGUACAAAGCGCUGCAAACCUGCAAGGGGGAGCCAAUCGCAAAAAACCGGCCUCAGUUCAGAUUGAGGUCUGCAACUCGACCUCAUGAAGGCGGAAUCGCUAGUAAUCGCGGAUCAGCACGCCGCGGUGAAUACGUUCCCGGGCCUUGUACACACCGCCCGU
rnacentral:rRNA from 1 species